rnacentral:rRNA from 3 species
UUUAUCGGAGAGUUUGAUCCUGGCUCAGGACGAACGCUGGCGGCGUGCCUAAUACAUGCAAGUCGAGCGGACAGAUGGGAGCUUGCUCCCU